GUGGGGAAUCUUAGACAAUGGGCGCAAGCCUGAUCUAGCCAUGCCGCGUGAGCGAUGAAGGCCUUAGGGUUGUAAAGCUCUUUCGUGGGGGAAGAUAAUGACUGUACCCCAAGAAGAAGCCCCGGCUAACUCCGUGCCAGCAGCCGCGGUAAUACGGAGGGGGCUAGCGUGGUUCGGAAUUACUGGGCGUAAAGCGCACGUAGGCGGACUGGAAAGUCAGGGGUGAAAGCCCGGGGCUCAACCCCGGAACUGCCUUUGAAACUCCCAGUCUUGAGUUCGAGAGAGGUGAGUGGAAUUCCGAGUGUAGAGGUGAAAUUCGUAGAUAUUCGGAGGAACACCAGUGGCGAAGGCGGCUCACUGGCUCGAUACUGACGCUGAGGUGCGAAAGCGUGGGGAGCAAACAGGAUUAGAUACCCCUGUAGUCC
rnacentral:rRNA from 1 species